UACGUAGGUGACAAGCGUUGUCCGGAUUUACUGGGCGUAAAGAGCGCGCAGGCGGUCGUUCAAGUCGAGUGUGAAAGCCCCCGGCUCAACUGGGGAGGGUCACGCGAUACUGAUCGACUCGAAGGCAGGAGAGGGUAGUGGAAUUCCCGGUGUAGUGGUGAAAUGCGUAGAUAUCGGGAGAACACCAGUGGCGAAGGCGAGCUACCC
rnacentral:rRNA from 1 species